rnacentral:rRNA from 1 species
GACGAACGCUGGCGGCGUGCUUAACACAUGCAAGUCGAACGGAAAGGCCCCUUCGGGGGUACUCGAGUGGCGAACAGGUGAGUAACACGUGAGUAACCUGCCCUUGACUUCGGGAUAACUUCAGAAAACUGGGGCUAAUACCGGAUAGGAAUCCUUGCUGCAUGGUGGGGGUUGGAAAGCUUCGGCGGUUUUGGAUGGACUCGCGGCUUAUCAGCUUGUUGGUGGGGUAGUGGCUUACCAAGGCUUUGACGGGUAGCCGGCCUGAGAGGGCGACCGGCCACAUUGGGACUGAGAUACGGCCCAGACUCCUACGGGAGGCAGCAGUGGGGAAUAUUGCACAAUGGGCGGAAGCCUGAUGCAGCAACGCCGCGUGCGGGAUGACGGCCUUCGGGUUGUAAACCGCUUUCAGCAGGGGCGAAGCUUGUGGUGACGGUACCUGCAGAAGAAGCACCGGCUAACUACGUG